rnacentral:lncRNA from 1 species
UUUAAAAAUGCUUCAGCUGAUGAUUCUAUGGAUCCCAUCUUCCCAGUAUUAGGAUACAACCAUUCUGAUAUAAAUAAGGAGGUUGGAUCUGCAGCUAUCUCAGGUGGCUAUGUUUAUCGCUCCAAGACUGAUCCCUGCAUAUAUGGAAGGUAAAUAUGAACACCCAUUUAGAUAUAUAAUUGAAGCAACUUCAAAUUUUGCAAACCAAACUUAACAGAAGGAUGGCUAAAUUUGCAGUGACCUAUAUUUAGAUAUAUAAUUGAAGCAACUUCAAAAUUUCAAACCAAACUUAACAGAAGGAUGGUUAAAUUUGCAGUUACCUAUAUGGAGAUUUGUAUGCUAAGAAUUUCUGGGCAGCUCAAGAAAAUCCAUACAAUAGUGGGAACUUUACAACAAGAGACAUACCAUUUAGUUGUGCUCAUGAUUCCCCUCUCAACUGCAGCUCAGUACCCAAUAGUCCAUUGCUUGCUUUAGGUUACAUAUUCUCAUUUGAACAGGAUAACAGAAAGGAUACCUAUGUUUUAACAAGCAC